rnacentral:rRNA from 1 species
CCUGCCCACUGAUUUUAUUUAACGGCCGCAGUAUUUUGACUGUGCAAAGGUAGCAUAAUAAUUAGUUUUUUAAUUAAAAGCUUGUAUGAAUGGUUGAAGCGAGGUAAAUUCUGUCUUUAAUUGAUUUAUUUUUGAAUUUAAUUUUUAAGUUAAAAAGCUUAAAUUUUUUUAAAAGACGAGAAGACCCUAUAGAUCUUUAUUAUUUUUUUAAAUAAUUUAUUUAGAAAUUUAUUUAUUAUUUUAUUAAAAUAAUUUUAUUGGGGUAAUGUAAAGAUUAAAUAAAUUCUUUAUUUUUAAAAACAUAAAUUUAUGAUUUUUUUGAUCCAAUUUUAUUGAUUAUAAGAUUAAGUUACCUUAGGGAUAACAGCGUAAUUUUUUUAAAGAGUUCAUAUCGAUAAAAAAGAUUGCGACCUCGAUGUUGGAUUAAAAGUAAUUUUAGGUGUAGAAGCUUAAAAUUUUGGUCUGUUCGACC